CCAAUACAUUCAAGAAAAUUUGACUUUUGAUAUAAGAAAAGAGCACAUAAAAUUGAAAAUUGUUUCUGUGUUCACACAUUUAUUCACCAUUUUUUCAUUUACUGCAUCUUUCAGGUAGAAUAACAGGUAGACUAUGUAGCGUAUGAAUCAGUUGUUGGUGUCCUUUUAUACCCAGUAGAUCGAAGAUUACAGGUUGCAUACAUAAGUAUUUUGGUCAAAGUGGAUGUAUGUAUGUAACGCACAGAAGGAAACGUUUACGACCCCAUAAAGUAUAUAUUCUUGAUCAGUAUUAGUAUUCGAGUAGAUAAAGCUAUGCCUGUCUGUCCUUAUGAGCGCCUAAUACUCAGAGACCAUAAGAGAUAGGGCAACCAAGUUUUUCAUCCAGACUUCUGGACGCUCACACUAAUACCAGUGUAUCAAAUUAUUGCCCCGCCCCCGUCCGCCCCCACAAAGAGCGAAAAUCUGCUUUAUCCACAAUUUUGAAGAUAAGAGAAAACUAAAAACGCCAUUCCGUAAGGAAUAUCUAUCAGAUCUCAAAAUUGGACCAUGAACCGGACUUUUGGCCAGAGGCCAUUGAGGCCUCCUGCCUUUAGUCCUGCUAAAGUAACCCUACUUGACCCAGGAGGGACAUGGAAAGCGCAGGCUGAUACAACUCCUAUGAGCCCUUGCAAGCCUAUACAAAUUACACUACUCGACAAAAUCAAUUUUUUUUCCUUGAGGAACCAAACUGAUUUUUUCUGAUAGAUAUGGUUUUUUCCAUGGCAGAACUUUUUUUGAAGAAUAUUUGAGGUCUGAUAUUUUUUUUAAUGUUUUGUCAGAGGUAGCGUUUUGUUUUUUCACAUAACUUAAGUAUCU
rnacentral:lncRNA from 1 species